GUAGGUGGCAAGCGUUGUCCGGAAUUAUUGGGCGUAAAGCGCGCGCAGGCGGUUCUUUAAGUCUGAUGUGAAAGCCCACGGCUCAACCGUGGAGGGUCAUUGGAAACUGGAGAACUUGAGUACAGAAGAGGAAAGCGGAAUUCCACGUGUAGCGGUGAAAUGCGUAGAGAUGUGGAGGAACACCAGCGGCGAAGGCGGCUUUCUGGUCUGUAACUGACGCUGAGGCGCGAAAGCGUGGGGGAGCAAACAGGAUUAGAUACCCUGGUAGUCCACGCCGUAAACGAUGAGUGCUAAGUGUUAGGGGGUUUCCGCCCCUUAGUGCUGCAGCUAACGCAUUAAGCACUCCGCCUGGGAGUACGGCCGCAAGGCUG
rnacentral:rRNA from 1 species